GGCGGGCGGCCUCCGUGUGCCAAAAAUGGGCCACGGGCACAGCCGCGCCAAAAAAACAGCCCCCGAAGUUUGGGUUCCCAAGACCCCCUAGCGGAAAAAUGGCCAAAAAACGGGUGGGCUAUAUCCUUGGUGGGGGGCGUGGGCGAAGUUCGUCCGCGGGACUCGGAAUGGCACCAGACUUGGCGGGCGGCCUCUGUGUGCCAAAAAUAGGCCACAGGCACAAUCGCGCCCAAAAAACAGCCCCCGAAGUUCGGGGUCCCAAGACCCCCCAGCGGAAAAAUGGCCAAAAAACGGGUGGGCUAUAGCCUUGGUGGGGGGCGUGGGCGAAGUUCGUCCGCGGGACUCGGAAUGGCACAAGACUUGGCGGGCGGCCUCCGUGUGUCAAAAAUAGGCCACGGGCACAGCCGCGCCCAAAAAACAGCCCCCGAAGUUCGGGGUCCCAAGACCCCCCAGCGGAAAAAUGGCCAAAAAACGGGUGGGCUAUAGCCUUGGUGGGGGGCGUGGGCGAAGUUCGUCCGCGGGACUCGGAAUGGCACCAGACUUGGCGGGCGGCCUCCGUGUGCCAAAAAUAGGCCACGGGCACAGCCGCGCCCAAAAAACAGCUCCCGAAGUUCGGGGUCCCAAGACCCCCCAGCGGAAAAAUGGCCAAAAAACGGUGGGCUAUAGCCUUGGUGGGGGGCGUGGGCGAAGUUCGUCCGUUGGACUCGGAAUGGCACCAGACUUGGCGGGCGGCCUCCGUGUGCCAAAAAUAGGCCACGGGCACAGCCGCGCCCAAAAUACAACCCCCGAAGUUCGGGGUCCCAAGACCCCCCAGCGGAAAAAUGGCCAAAAAACGGUGGGCUAUAGCCUUGGUGGGGUGCGUGGGCGAAGUUCGUCCGCGGGACUCGGAAUGGCACCAGACUUGGCGGGCGGCCUCCGUGUGCCAAAAAUAGGCCACGGGCACAGCCGCGCCCAAAAAACAGCCCCCGAAGUUCGGGGUCCCAAGACCCCCCAGCGGAAAAAUGGCCAAAAAACGGUGGGCUUAGCCUUGGUGGGGGGCGUGGCCGAAGUUCGUCCGUGGGACUCGGAAUGGCACCAGACUGGGCGGGCGGCCUCCGUGUGCCAAAAAUAGGCCACGGGCACAGCCGCGCCCAAAAUACAACCCCCGAAGUUCGGGGUCCCAAGACCCCCCAGCGGAAAAAUGGCCAAAAAACGGUGAGCUAUAGCCUUGGUGGGGUGCGUGGGCGAAGUUCGUCCGCGGGACUCGGAAUGGCACCAGACUUGGCGGGCGGCCUCCGUGUGCCAAAAAUAGGCCACGGGCACAGCCGCGCCCAAAAAACAGCCCCCGAAGUUCGGGGUCCCAAGACCCCCCAGCGGAAAAAUGGCCAAAAAACGGUGGGCUAUAGCCUUGGUGGGGGGCGUGGGCGAAGUUCGUCCGUGGGACUCGGAAUGGCACCAGACUUGGCGGGCGGCCUCCGUGUGCCAAAAAUUGGCCACGGGCACAGCCGCGCCCAAAAAACAGCCCCCGAAGUUCGGGGUCCCAAGACCCCCUAGCGGAAAAAUGGCCAAAAAACGGGUGGGCUAUAGCCUUGGUGGGGGGCGUGGGCGAAGUUCGUCCGCGGGACUCGGAAUGGCACCAGACUUGGCGGGCGGCCUCCGUGUGCCAAAAAUAGGCCACGGGCACAAUCGCGCCCAAAAAACAGCCCCCGAAGUUCGGGGUCCCAAGACCCCCCAGCGGAAAAAUGGCCAAAAAACGGGUGGGCUAUAGCCUUGGUGGGGGGCGUGGGCGAAGUUCGUCCGCGGGACUCGGAAUGGCACCAGACUUGGCGGGCGGCCUCCGUGUGCCAAAAAUAGGCCACGGGCACAGCCGCGCCCAAAAAACAGCCCCCGAAGUUCGGGGUCCCAAGACCCCCCAGCGGAAAAAUGGCCAAAAAACGGGUGGGCUAUAGCCUUGGUGGGGGGCGUGGGCGAAGUUCGUCCGCGGGACUCGGAAUGGCACAAGACUUGGCGGGAGGCCUCCGUGUGUCAAAAAUAGGCCACGGGCACAGCCGCGCCCAAAAAACAGCCCCCGAAGUUCGGGGUCCCAAGACCCCCCAGC
rnacentral:lncRNA from 1 species